rnacentral:rRNA from 1 species
UACAGAGGUGGCAAGCGUUGUUCGGAAUUACUGGGCGUAAAGGGCGCGUAGGCGGUCACGCACGUCCGUUGUGAAAUCGCUCGGCUCAACUGGGCGGGGUCAGCGGAUACGGCGUGGCUGGAGCAAGCUAGGGGGCAAUGGAAUUCCCGGUGUAGUGGUGGAAUGCGUAGAUAUCGGGAGGAACACCAGUGGCGAAGGCGGUUGCCUGGAGCUUUGCUGACGCUGAUGCGCGAAAGCGUGGGGAGCGAUCCGG